rnacentral:rRNA from 1 species
UACGUAGGGGGCAAGCGUUGUCCGGAUUUACUGGGCGUAAAGCGCGUGUAGGCGGCUACGCAGGUCCGUUGUGAAAACUGGAGGCUCAACCUCCAGACGUCGACGGAAACCGUGUGGCUUGAGUACGGAAGAGGCGAGUGGAAUUCCUGGUGUAGCGGUGAAAUGCGCAGAUAUCAGGAGGAACACCAAUUGCGAAGGCAGCUCGCUGGGACGUUACUGACGCUGAGACGCGAAAGCGUGGGGAGCAAACAGG